rnacentral:ncRNA from 1 species
AUGGAUCUUCGGGGUAAGGUGAAAUUCCUGACCGGCGGUGAGGUUCCUCUGUUCCAUGGGAAGAGAGGGGCUUAAGCCCGCGACUCGUUUACCGCGUGUUGUCCGCGGUUGGCGACUGACUUGGUGCGAUUCCAAGGCCGACGGUAUAGUCCGGAUGGGAGAAGAUCAAA